CAGGGGAUCUCUGCUGUUACGUGACACUUCCUACGGCACCCAUGGGCUCUCAGAAGGCGGCAAAAAGCUGAAUCGUGGCUUUGCAGGCCCUGGUUGAAAAACAUCAGCGCGUUUGGAUAGUGGCCGGUCACAGUACUAUGAGACUCAGGCUCGUGCACGAGGGGAUCCCAUGCUUUUAUUUUCUCUCUCUUUGUAUGUAAACACGCAUUCCCGGUCGGAACAUUAUCGCUUUUUUACGAGAAAAAUGGCAUAAAAAUGUAUUUUAAACAGCGGUUGACAUGCUUCGAAGUACGGUAAUGGAAUAUUUACAAAUUUUUUGUCACGAAAUGCGUCGUGCGCAUGACCCUUAUUUACACUUCGGAUAGUGUCUUGAACGCACGAAAAAAACGCCGCUAUUUGGAUAUAACUAUGGAUUAUUUUGAAGCAAACCAACAUUUGUUAUUGAAGUAGCAGUCCUGGGAGUGCAUUCUGACGAAGAACACCAAAGAGAACCCUGAAUCUGAGGACCCCUUGCCCACCGACGAAGUCCCAGGUCCCUCUGAAGAUGCUGGUGGUGAUGGAGUCAGACGAACAGUGGGUGAAGUGCAGGAGGUCUGCAGUAGCUGGAAGGCCUCCAGCCAUUUCACCCUUCCUGGCCCUGCUGUUGGCUUUAAUGAGUCCCAGUCUAGAGUACAAAGCCUCUUGCCUUCUCCCGCUGAGGCAGAGUGCAUCAAACCGUUUCUGGCAGAGGAGCUGGUGGGAGACAUAGUGGAGGAGACCAAUCGCAGUGCCAUGGAGCUAAAGGAGAAGCGAGAGCCAUGGGGAAGGUAGACCACCAGAUGGGAGAGAGAAAGAUCAAACCAGACUGUGUGCUUGACCUUAAUCACAAAAUGGGGGCAGGUGGACAUGAUUAACAGCUUUGUGGAAUACGCUCGGAAAACCAGCUAGUGGUAUAAGAAGAUAUUUUUUCCAUCUGAUUGACACUGCUGCCUUUAAAUGGCCACAUUACUGUACAAGUUUUUUUGCAAUUGGAAAUACAGUUCACAUACAAAAAGCAUAGAGUUACAUUUGCUAAAUCUCUCACCUACCUCCCUACCCCCUCAUCAUCCUCUCCACUACCUCUCCCCCAUUGGUGAGAUGAUUACCUACCAAAAGUACAGAGAGAUCCUCAUGAGAGAGCUGCUGGAUGAGCACCACACCCCUCGGUGUCCAUCUCCUGGCGGCUGUCCUGCUGCAGACAAUCCUCUGCACUGCAUUUUCCCUAUGAAGUUGGGGGAGGGGGUGUUUAGGCAGUUUAAUUGGAGAUGCUCAAAUGUCUGCUUAAUUGACCUGGGGAAACACUGGGGGAGUGCUUGGGCUCUCAAAGAGUGAAGUUUGUCCGGCUCAUCUAAUCCUCGCCUUCAAUUAGCAUAGCACGAUUCAAACAUAAAUUGUCCGCCAAAGGAAAAUAGGCUAGUUCUAUUUGAAUUAAUGAGGAGGCGGAACGCAGCUCAUUUCAAACUGUUAUUAAAACAUAAAACUGUUAGAUUUUUUUAUUUUUUGUUGACAAGUUGAAACAGUUUAUAGAUAACAAGCAGGCAGUGCUAUGGUUUGAGAGCAGGCGGGUUAACUGUCCUGUUACCUAACAAUCACAUUUUGGAAUAGUAAUCCACAGGUUUUAUGCGACUAGUCAUACGAUAUAAAAUCCAAAUCAUGACAGCUGUGAUGAAAACAGGAUGUUUCGCUCCAAUUUUAUAAAUUCCGACAGAUCAUUUGUUUGUUCGACAUGGUGGGAUGUUUUUGUGUCUGUCAAAUUAAUUAUGCAAGAAAGGGAAGUGGAAACGCCUUUAUGCUAAAAUAUUGAUAUAGUAACCAUCAUAUCGACGUAAACUUGGAAUCACACAAUGAUAUGGUGUGUGGUCCUCCCACUAUGACUUUGGAAACCAUUAAGUUUAAUAGGCUACAGAUUAAAUAAGCUAUGAUGAACUUCACAGGGUGGUGAAAGUGAACGAUGAGGUUGAUGCUCCAUUCCAAUAAAUAUUGAGGGUCUUAUUUUGGUGACAUGCUUAAAAAACAGAAAUACCUUAUUUAUACCUUAGGGCGGCAGGUAGCCUAGUGGUUAGAGCGUUGGACUGGUAACCGAAAGGUCGAAUCCCUGAGCUGACAAGGUAAAAAUCUGUAGUUCUGCCCCUGAACAAGGC
rnacentral:lncRNA from 1 species